CACAGGAUCUCAUUUGCAACAAUCUCGCUUCAAACUUGCUAUGUAACCAAAGAUGGCGACUUCCUGAUAUUCCUUCCCACUCCCAAAUGCCAGGAUUUCAGAUUGGCCUGCGCCUGGUUCCGUCCCUAAGCACGUGGGCCUGGGCUGUGUAAGCUGAGCGGGCCAUGUCUUCAUGGCAAGCCAGUGAGCAUCGUUCCUCCGCGGUCCUGCCCUGUCUUCCCUCAGUGAAGGACUGUAAGUAGAAGGUGAAAUAAACCCCUUCACCUUCCCC
rnacentral:lncRNA from 1 species